UCACUUCAGCAGUGCAUACACUAAAAUUGGAAUGACGCAGAGAAGAUUAGCAUGGCCCUUGUGCAAGGAUGGCACGCAAAUUUGUGAAGCACUCCAUAUUUAA